AGCUUUGCGCAGUGGCAGUAUUAUAGCCAAUGAGGUUUAUCCGAGGUGCGAUUAUUGCUAAUUGAAAACUUUUCCCAAAUCUUUCUUCUCAUUGAAUUAAGACAAAGUAGCUACAUAUCUGUC
rnacentral:snRNA from 1 species